UACGAAGGGGGCUAGCGUUGCUCGGAAUCACUGGGCGUAAAGGGUGCGUAGGCGGGUCUUUAAGUCAGGGGUGAAAUCCUGGAGCUCAACUCCAGAACUGCCUUUGAUACUGAGAGUCUCGAGUCCGGGAGAGGUGAGUGGAACUGCGAGUGUAGAGGUGAAAUUCGUAGAUAUUCGCAAGAACACCAGUGGCGAAGGCGGCUCACUGGCCCGAUACUGACGCUGAGGCACGAAAGCGUGGGGAGCAAACAGG
rnacentral:rRNA from 1 species